rnacentral:tRNA from 1 species
GAGGGUAUGGUUCAACUGGUAGAAGACAUGCUUAGCAUGUAUGAGGUGCUGGGUUCAAUCCCCAGGACUUCCA